UACGGGGGGAGCAAGCGUUGUUCGGAUUUACUGGGCGUAAAGGGCGCGUAGGCGGCCAGCACAAGUCAGUUGUGAAAUCUCCGGGCUUAACUCGGAAAGGUCAACUGAUACUGUGCGGCUAGAGUGCAGAAGGGGCAACUGGAAUUCUCGGUGUAGCGGUGAAAUGCGUAGAUAUCGAGAGGAACACCUGCGGCGAAGGCGGUUGCUGGGCUGACACUGACGCUGAUGCGCGAAAGCCAGGGGAGCGAACGGG
rnacentral:rRNA from 1 species